CGGUGUCCCGCAGAGGGAUCUCGAUGGAGCCCCGCGACAUCUUGGCGACAGCGCUGCCGGAGCCGCCACUCGCCGGGCCGGGGCCGCUGCGCGCACUUCCCCUCACGGCAGCGCCCGACCCGGACGUGCUCGGGAAUGGGGCGGAGCGGGCCGGGCCCGCCCCGGGGCGGUGUGAGGGCGGCACCUGCUCGUUCUGACGCCCGUCGCGCACCUAGCCCUGGGAAUGGGGAUAAACACCCCUGUGGAGCAGGGAAAGGCAGCUCUGGGUGUUUGUGCGUACGUGCAGCCGCUGCUAAACCGAGCAGGUUUAGCUGGGUAAAACUCCCUGGGCUUUGGGGCACGGCUCCCUCAGGCGGCGCCUCUCCUCACGGCGUCUCAGAAGCGUCAAACGAUUCCCAAAUAAACGCGUUAAAACGGGCGGAUUUUCCCCAUCUUCGUGGGAAACCAAAGUGUAAAUCUAAGUUUAUAUUAUCCGACUAGCUCAGCUGGUGUAAUACUUUUGAUGCGUAUUUACAAUUUUUCAGCCUCAGCCGGGCUUACAUUGCAGUAAGGAAGGAUGAAGCCUGAGAAUCAGCCUGAAGAUGAAGAAAGCUUCUGGGAAUAUGUCAACAAAUCUUCCUCUGUUUCCUGGAGCACUUGAUGUGUUUGUAUGCACAUUCUUCUUGGAAGGCCGGGGACAUUUUGUUUGGUGAUUGAGAAGUGAUGUGGAUGGACGCCAUGCUUGAAGCCUGUUUUCAUAGCUCCUAUCAACACGAGAGCUGAGGUACAUAGCAAUAGGAAGAAUUUACAAAGAAGUUACCCUGGAUGUGAAGAAUCCAUCUUAGAUGAAAGAAACAAGAGAUGCCUCAGCAAGGUUUCCAGAGCAUGCUAUUAUAUGUCUGUACAGCCAUGUGGAAAGAGAAGCCUGUAAUCCUUUGGAAUUCUACCAGUUCUUCAUUUCUGUCUUAUUUCCCACAACCAAGGCUCUGCAAUUGCAUAUUCUUUUAAUUUAGCAUUUCUGAUUCAUGUGAAGAGCUUCUCUUUUGCUGGAGAAAAUUGGAAGCAAAUUUUCUGCCUUGAAGAAGA